rnacentral:rRNA from 1 species
AUUGAACGCUGGCGGCAUGCCUUACACAUGCAAGUCGAACGGCAGCACGGGAGCAAUCCUGGUGGCGAGUGGCGAACGGGUGAGUAAUAUAUCGGAACGUGCCCAGUAGUGGGGGAUAGCCCGGCGAAAGCCGGAUUAAUACCGCAUACGACCUGAGGGUGAAAGCGGGGGAUCGCAAGACCUCGCGCUAUUGGAGCGGCCGAUAUCAGAUUAGCUAGUUGGUGGGGUAAAGGCCUACCAAGGCUACGAUCUGUAGUUGGUCUGAGAGGACGACCAGCCACACUGGGACUGAGACACGGCCCAGACUCCUACGGGAGGCAGCAGUGAGGAAUAUUGGACAAUGGGCGAAAGCCUGAUCCAGCCAUGCCGCGUGAAGGAUGACUGCCCUAUGGGUUGUAAACUUCUUUUAUGUAGGAAGAAACCCCUUCUCGUGAGAAGGGCUGACGGUACUACAGGAAUAAGGACCGGCUAACUCCGUGCCAGCAGCCGCGGUAAAG